rnacentral:rRNA from 1 species
UAGGGAAUUUUCGCAAUGGGCGCAAGCCUGAACGAGCAAUGCCGCGUGAGUGAGGAAGGUCUUCGGAUCGUAAAGCUCUGUUGCAGGUCAGAAAAGAAGGGAAGAGGAAAUGCUUUUCUUUUGAUAGUAACCUGCCAGAAAGUCACGGCUAACUACGUGCC